rnacentral:tRNA from 1 species
AUUUAAAUAGUUUAAUUUAAAACAUUGAUUUGUGAUAUCAAAAAUAUAUUUUUUAAUAUUUUAAAUU